rnacentral:rRNA from 1 species
GUCACUAUUUUUCCAAGGUUGACCUCGGAUCAGGUAGGGAUACCCGCUGAACUUAAGCA